GAUGAAGAACGCAGCGAAAUGCGAUAAGUAGUGUGAAUUGCAGAAUUCAGUGAAUCAUCGAAUCUUUGAACGCACAUUGCGCCCCUUGGUAUUCCAUGGGGCAUGCCUGUUCGAGCGUCAUUUGUACCCUCAAGCUCUGCUUGGUGUUGGGUGUUUGUCCUCUCCUCUGCGUUUGGACUCGCCUUAAAGCAAUUGGCAGCCAGUGUUUUGGUAUUGAAGCGCAGCACAUUUUGCGAUUCUAGCCGAUAAUACUUGCGUCCAUAAGCCUUUUUUAACUUUUGACCUCGGAUCAGGUAGGGAUACCCGCUGAACUUAAGCAUAUCAAUAAGCGGAGA
rnacentral:misc_RNA from 1 species